UGAGAAAAAGUGUCUAAUUCGAUCCUGAAAACACGUGGAGCGUUGCGAUUUGGAAAAGGUGAUAUCCACGUCAUCAGAAGAAUCAGACGGCUGACAAAUGAUUCCCGGUUCACAUGAUGGAUGGAACCGGAUCCAUCUUAUAAAAACUUCCUGGUCUCUGUAAUUGUAUUAGGUUUGCCAUUGGAAUUUGUUUAGAGGCAAAGGAAUUGAGAGAAGAAGAAUGGCAGGCGAAUCGACUUUGUUCAAGUUCUUGAGCCCAACACGCCGUCUCCAACCUACCGACAUCAAAGCCGCCGCCGGCUGGGGUGUCGCCGCUGCCACAACUGCUCUGUGGCUCAUUCAGCCAUUUGAUUGGAUCAAGAAAACGUUCUUGGAGAAACCACAAGACGCAUGACUUGUUAUUUGAAGAUUCACCACAGUUUUUGUUAAUAAGUAUCAGUUGAUUGCCGCGAAUGGGUAAACUGCAGAGUUCAUUGGAAUAACAUGUUUUGUAAUGCACUCUGUUUUGAUUAAACUGAGUUCUUCCUAUUGCUCCAACAUUUGAAAAUUUAUUGUUAAGCUCAGGUUCAUAUGUUUCCUUCC